rnacentral:sRNA from 1 species
UUUUAGCCCCGAUUACAGUGAAAAUCCUUUUUAUUUUUUUUGUCAAAAAUAAAAAGAUUGUAACAGAAAGCGGGAAAUAGC